GAUGAAGAACGUAGCGAAAUGCGAUAAGUAAUGUGAAUUGCAGAAUUCCGUGAAUCAUCGAAUCUUUGAACGCACAUUGCGCCCUCUGGUAUUCCGGGGGGCAUGCCUGUCCGAGCGUCAUUGCAACCCUCAAGCGCGGCUUGUGUGUUGGGCCUCCGUCUUCCUCCCGGGGGACGGGCCCGAAAGGCAGCGGCGGCACCGCGUCCGGUCCUCGAGCGUAUGGGGCUUCGUCACCCGCUCUUGUAGGCCCGGCCGGCGCUUGCCGACACAUCAAUCUUUUUUCCAGGUUGACCUCGGAUCAGGUAGGGAUACCCGCUGAACUUAAGCAUAUCAAUAAGCGGAGGA
rnacentral:misc_RNA from 1 species